AUCUAUACUGUGAAACUGCGAAUGGCUCAUUAAAUCAGUUAUCGUUUAUUUGAUAGUACCUUACUACUUGGAUAACCGUGGUAAUUCUAGAGCUAAUACAUGCUAAAAACCCCGACUUCGGGAGGGGUGUAUUUAUUAGAUAAAAAACCAAUGCCCUUCGGGGCUCUUUGGUGAGUCAUGAUAACUUAACGAAUCGCAUGGCCUUGCGCCGGCGAUGGUUCAUUCAAAUUUCUGCCCUAUUAACUUUCGAUGGUAGGAUAGAGGCCUACCAUGGUAUCAAUGGGUAACGGGGAAUUAGGGUUCUAUUCCGGAGAGGGAGCCUGAGAAACGGCUACCACAUCCAAGGAAGGCAGCAGGCGCGCAAAUUACCCAAUCCCGACACGGGGAGGUAGUGACAAUAAAUACUGAUACAGGGCUCUUUUGGGUCUUGUAAUUGGAAUGAGUACAAUUUAAAUACCUUAACGAGGAACAAUUGGAGGGCAAGUCUGGUGCCAGCAGCCGCGGUAAUUCCAGCUCCAAUAGCGUAUAUUAAAGUUGUUGCAGUUAAAAAGCUCGUAGUUGAACCUUGGGCCUGGCUGGCCGGUCCGCCUCACCGCGUGUACUGGUCCGGCCGGGCCUUUCCUUCUGGGGAUCCGCAUGGCCUUCACUGGCUGUGUCGGGGAACCAGGACUUUUACUUUGAAAAAAUUAGAGUGUUCAAAGCAGGCCUUUGCUCGAAUACAUUAGCAUGGAAUAAUAGAAUAGGACGUGCGGUCCUAUUUUGUUGGUUUCUAGGACCGCCGUAAUGAUUAAUAGGGAUAGUCGGGGGCAUCAGUAUUCAAUUGUCAGAGGUGAAAUUCUUGGAUUUAUUGAAGACUAACUACUGCGAAAGCAUUUGCCAAGGAUGUUUUCAUUAAUCAGUGAACGAAAGUUAGGGGAUCGAAGACGAUCAGAUACCGUCGUAGUCUUAACCGUAAACUAUGCCGACUAGGGAUCGGGCGAUGUUAUUCUUUUGACUCGCUCGGCACCUUACGAGAAAUCAAAGUCU
rnacentral:rRNA from 1 species